rnacentral:piRNA from 1 species
UGGACAAAAGUAGCCAUUUAAUUGUUGA